rnacentral:rRNA from 1 species
UACGUAGGGCGCAAGCGUUAUCCGGAAUUAUUGGGCGUAAAGAGCUCGUAGGCGGUUUGUCGCGUCUGCUGUGAAAACUCGAGGCUCAACCUCGAGACGCCGAUGGAAACCAUCUAACUAGAGUCCGGAAGAGGAGAGUGGAAUUCCUGGUGUAGCGGUGAAAUGCGCAGAUAUCAGGAAGAACACCCGUGGCUAAGGCGGCUCUCUAGUACGGUACUGACGCUGAGACGCGAAAGCGUGGGGAGCGAACAGG